AAAAAGGAAAGAAAAGCUCCAUUCUCACUCCUCUCAGGAUAAACUGUCAUUAAAAUUGACUUUAAAUUUAGCUUCAACACGAGAUAAAAACAUUUACUUUCAUUACUGAUAUUGUCAAGUUUUAAUAAAGUUCAUGCUACUUUUAUAAAAUGAUGAAAGUGAAUAAAUUGUAUUUCUGUGAUCUGUGUUUGAUUUCUGUCUUUUCUCCUGUCAUCCAGAUGUUCAGAGGGAGAUGAUGCCACAUCUGGUCCAGCUGAUGGAAGGUCUUGAAGUUCUCUGACUGGCCUCGACUGAAGAUGGUCGUCUCACUGGAUUUAAGGUUCAGAUGCUCAGUAACAAACUCCACCAAUGUGGCAACAGGGAAGCUUUAGGUUUAUUAAAUGUUGCUAUGAAGGUUUCGCUGUUUUUCUUUGUGAAUGCAAUGUGCUCCAACUGAAACUUGAAUUAGAACUUAGAAGUAAAUCCUUCCAUCUGAAAGGAUUUAGUUGCAUUAAUAACCUCAUAACAUUCUAAUUUUUAUUCCAGUCUUGGUUGAAAAUAGAAUCUUUGUAUUAAUUCAGGUAAAAACUGAACUUCACAGCAUGUUGAAGCAAAACAACCAGAUGAAAACUGUGAUGGUGUUGGAUUGUCAGACCGUAAUGUUGCAGCUCAAAGCAGCUUUUUUUUUUUUAUCUCAGUUCAUUCUGACAUUCAGCUAUGAAUCAACACAGCAGAUGGUGAUCCAUGCUGUGGAAGUGUCACAUCUCCUGAUUUAAUGGAGCUGCUUUGCACUUUUUACACUGUUUAUUCACCAACACUUUAUUUAAUAAAAGUCCCAUCUAGUUUUUAUGAGGAAUGUGAUGUUUUAAUUUCUCUGUGAAUAACUGCAGUCUAAUGCAACAGCUGGAGUUGUAACAUCUGUCCUGAUAUUGAUCAUGAAGUAUUGAUCAGAAUACUUAUGGUCAGCAGUCAUCCCUGAAGUUUUACAUUAAAAUCUUUACUUGUGUUGUGAACUUUGGUAAGAAGCAGAAACGUUAGCGUUGCCAUGGAUACAUCAGUGUUAAAUUCUGUCCAUGUUUCCAUUUUGGUAAAUUCAGUCCAGUUCCAGAAUGUGGAGGAAUUUAGUCUCACAAUCACAGACAACAAAUAUUCGGGUUAUUGUUGUUUAUCAGCACAAUACAAAAAGAUUAAUGUUAGAAAUAUUCCAGUUAAGACCCUAGAAUAUCAUGAUUUAUGGAAAUUUACCUCAAUAAUAUGAAUGUUCAGGUUAAGAUUGUACAGUGAUAUUUAUUAUGUAAGUUUAGCUGAUUAAAGUUUAUGACUCUGCACUAAAAUAUUAUUUAAAUUGACAUCAUUAUUAUAAUAUUUAGGGUCAGACCCUACAGUAUUGAGAUUAAGAAAUCAAAUAUUCUAUAAAAUGUAAAUACACUGAACUCAUUUGGAUAUAUUUAAGUGAGACUGUACAAUAUUAUUUGACACAAAUCUAUCUAAAUCAAAAUUUUAAUCAUUUUCACGCCAAACAUUUACUGGACUGAUUUAAAUAUUAAAAUCACUCCUUUCUAAUCCUCUGCUGUACAUUCAAACCUGAGGCCUUAAAUAGAAACACGCAAGUAUCUGUUAGAAGGAACUUCUGCAGAGUCCUGGUUCCAGAACAUGAUGAUAGAAUUAUAGACAAACUUUAACAAAAGCUGCCUGAGAGUUUACAGGUUUUUAUGUUGGAUUUCUUCAGUAAUUUAAUAAGCGUUAUCAGCAAAAAUUGAGUGUUCAUUUGAUGAACUUCAUUUCCUAAAACAUCCAGAAUUGGAGCUCAUAUCUUUGACAGCUAUAAAGUUUCUGCUCCUUCAAAGUUCACAACACAAUGAAUUAAUUCCUAAAACACUCUCAAUGCUGGAGAGCGUUUGUGAUGCUGAAGCAGUGAUUAGUUUUUCUGUUUCUUCUCUGGAGAUGCACAAUGAGGGACGUCUGCAGAGACUGAGAAAGAGUCUCACCACAUCCUGACAUGAGGAAAAAGACUUUAUUGAAGACUAGAAUGAGAAAAACUAUCAGACAGCAGACGGCUGCAUUCAAGUCUGUAGCUGCUGAAUUCAUGGAUGAAUCAUCUGGCACUAGAGAGGAAGACCAUCAAACAUCCACGUCAGCUGAUGGAGGUCCAAGAGUCUCACCGAACAACCAACCUACAGAGUGAAGACCUCAAAUCUGAUUGGACGGCCUCCUAUUCAGCCACGUUUUAGGCUGUUAGAUUGUUCCAGAUAAGACAAGUACAAGAUUCUUCAGAGCCGUUCUACUACGAGCCUGACAGGAAGAACUCCAACAGCUACUGAAUGUUCCUGUGGUCCCCUCAAGGCAACAGGAGGAGCCCUACGAGGACGAGCCGGUCCACCUGAUGGAGGCCAGUCGCUGCGGUUCAAAGCCAACACCGACUACGUGGACUUCUACUGGACCACACGGAGGCCUUCAAACCGGACCAACAAGUUCACCGACUCCCCGACUCGUGGGUCUGAGGACGCCGCCGAGCCUCGGCCCAGCCGGCCUCCUGUCUGUGGAUGUUUGAGUGCUGAGAGGUUUGUGG